GAAGAUGGCGAGCCUUGUGAGAGACAUGUAUGAAGGAGUGAAUCGGGAUGAUAUGACUAAAUAUCAACGCAAAGCAUUCCGCCGCAAAAAGCUAAGUACAAAUCCCAAUGUUCUAUUUAGAAUAUAUAGGAAAGAUCGCCUACAAACACUGCAAUUCAGUUCUAUGUAUCUUGAUGAGUGGGUGGAGUGCUUGAAAUCUUACUCCACAAUUACUUUUCAAUAUCUCACAAGUAAUGUGUUCAGUCUCUGUGGUCUGCCAAGUGAAUUGCAAAAGUUUUGCAAUGAAUACUGUGGAAAUUUGGAAAAGAUUUGCACGUCCUUCGGAGGGUGCUCCUAUCGCGGUCGCACCGUGAUCCCCGCUUGAUUGGGCCCUGCAGCAAACGGACGAGCGGCGAAUCCCCAACAACCUGAUACCGACGCAAAUCCCCAACAACCUGAUACCGACGCAAAUCCCCAACAACCUGAUACCGACGCAAAUCCCCAACAACCUGAUACCGACGCAAAUCCCCAACAACCUGAUACCGACGCAAAUCCCCAACAACCUGAUACCGACGCAAAUCCCCAACAACCUGACCCGACUGUAACGUGCGGCGAAUAACCAAACAACCUAAUAGUACAAAUAAAUCUGAAAUCAAUAAAGGCAUUGUCUCUGUCUCAGUUAUUUUGUUAUUAUUAGAGGUCAACCAAUGGAUGUUUUUAUUACUGAUUACUGAUAAUUGUAACUAGGUUGGACUGUGACAACCAGUUACAAUUUUUAUUAAAAAGUACUGAAAAUGAAAAUGUACUGUAAUUUUUAAAUAAAUAUUACCUAUGAUAAUAUAUCAAUUACCUUCAUUCAUGAUUAUUCAUAGUGAAUUAACUAACAGAUACAACUUUACAAUUUGAAAAUUCAGUCAAAUUUAAAAAUAUGUCAGUAAAUGUAGAAAUUAACAAGGAACAAUAUGCAUUUAUUAAUGUUUGUAAGUUAUUGUAAAGUUUAUCAUAUCAUAUAAUGCAUUCUUUCUUGCACGUUGUUGGUUUUGAUCCACAGCAGACCAGAGAGCCAUUUAUGAAGCCGUGCUAAAGUCCUCCAGGACUGUGAUGGAUGCCAUGAAAGCAGAAUAUACCAGUAUUGGACGGGUUCAUGGACUGGCAGUCUGCGAGAAACUUACGAUGAUCCAUCGUGUGACUUUCUGUUGAACCACCUGUGAUGCUGAAUUAGGAAGAUGACAUCACAAUAACAACUGAUGAGGUGGAGCUGUUGACCUUCGUCUGUAUUUCACAUCACAUGUGUCCCAGUAUCCACAUAAAACAGCAUCCUUGACACACACACAUGUUUGGAGUAACACCAUAGCAGUAGCCCUACACACAAUGGACAAUUCAAACGGAGCCAAGUAACUUUUUCUCUAUUUGGUUGACUGCAUUCUAGUUUUAUGGUGAAUGUCAAGCUAGAGCUGAUAUGUCGUGUGUGCUGGACUUAUAUUCAGGAGAAUAGAGUAGAUCAUAUUUAGCAUGUACUGUACAUGUAUUGUUUGUGUCUUGCCAGAGGAGGAUGGGCACCCUCAGUUGAGUCUGGUUCCUCUCAAGGUUUUCCCUUCACUUCCUAAACCUCUUAUGGAGGGUUUUUUCCUUGCCACUGUCGCCUAUGGCUUGCUCACUGGGGGCUUUGAGGCACAAUUAUCUGUUUAGCUGUUUAGAAAUAAAAGGUCUAAAAUGUAAUUUGACCUUCAUGAUGUAGGAGAAAUUCUUAUUCACACUAGGAAAACACACUAGGUUCAAGGGAACUUAAAAAAAAGAACUAUUUAAACAUUAUUUUUAUUGUAUUUUUAACGUAUUUAUUUAUUUAUUGUAUUUAAUUAUGUAAUAUUGUAUUGUAUUAUAUUUAUAUUUUCCAUUUCAUAUGGAACAAAUUUUACUGCUAUGCAUUUUCAUGCUGCUUUUCAGUUUUU